rnacentral:sRNA from 1 species
AAACACUCAGGGAGGGCACCCCGAGUGUCGCCGCUGAGGGCGUUUCUCUAAGCCCUUCUCUGAGCCUUGCUGCUGAAGGCCCCCCCGACACCUGGCGGGGGCUGGGCUGCGGGCCUUGGGGCGGUGUCCCGCGUGAAUGUUCAGGAACAGAAAUGAAUAAAAGUCGCUGGCAGAGUAGAAGACAUGGGAGAAGAAGCCACCAGCAGAACCCUUGGUUCAGACUCCGUGAUUCUGAAGACAGGUCUGACUCCCGGGCAGCACAGCCCGCUCACGAUUCCGGCCACGGUGAUGACGAGUCUCCGUCGACCUCGUCUGGCACAGCUGGGACCUCCUCUGUGCCAGAGCUACCUGGAUUUUACUUUGACCCUGAAAAGAAACGCUACUUCCGCUUGCUCCCUGGACAUAACAACUGCAACCCCCUGACGAAAGAGAGCAUCCGGCAGAAGGAGAUGGAGAGCAAGAGACUGCGGCUGCUCCAGGAAGAGGACAGACAGAAAAAGAUUGCCAGGAUGGGAUUUAAUGCAUCUUCCAUGCUACGAA